GUGGGGAAUAUUGGACAAUGGGCGAAAGCCUGAUCCAGCCAUGCCGCGUGUGUGAAGAAGGUCUUCGGAUUGUAAAGCACUUUAAGUUGGGAGGAAGGGUAGUAACCUAAUACGUUGCUACUUUGACGUUACCGACAGAAUAAGCACCGGCUAACUUCGUGCCAGCAGCCGCGGUAAUACGAAGGGUGCAAGCGUUAAUCGGAAUUACUGGGCGUAAAGAGCGCGUAGGUGGUUCAGUAAGUUGGAAGUGAAAUCCCCGGGCUCAACCUGGGAACUGCUUUCAAAACUGCUGAGCUAGAGUACGGUAGAGGGUGGUGGAAUGUCCUGUGUAGCGGUGAAAUGCGUAGAUAUAGGAAGGAACACCAGUGGCGAAGGCGACCACCUGGACUGAUACUGACACUGAGGUGCGAAAGCGUGGGGAGCAAACAGGAUUAGAAACCCUAGUAGUCC
rnacentral:rRNA from 1 species